rnacentral:tRNA from 1 species
GAAUGAGAAGCAAAGGAUGCAAUUAGUUUCGACCUAAUUAUAUGGUAUAAAUUUACCCUCAUUUU